CAGAGUUGCAAAACUCCCAAACCCAACUGUUUACCUACCUGAAAGCACUUGCUUCGGCGGGCGGCCCUAGGGCGGGGCCGCAGCCUGCGUUACAGCAGGCGCCCGCCGGAGGAUGUCAAAAUUCUUGCAGUUUUAGUACAUCUGAGCCUAAAGACAAAUAAUUA
rnacentral:misc_RNA from 1 species